UGCAAGUCGAACGGCAGCGCGGGGCAACCUGGCGGCGAGUGGCGAACGGGUGAGUAAUAUAUCGGAACAUACCCUAGAGUGGGGGAUAACGUAGCGAAAGUUACGCUAAUACCGCAUACGCACUAAGGUGGAAAGUGGGGGAUCGCAAGACCUCAUGCUCAUGGAGUGGCCGAUAUCUGAUUAGCUAGUUGGUGAGGUAAAGGCUCACCAAGGCGACGAUCAGUAGCUGGUCUGAGAGGACGACCAGCCACACUGGAACUGAGACACGGUCCAGACUCCUACGGGAGGCAGCAGUGGGGAAUUUUGGACAAUGGGGGCAACCCUGAUCCAGCAAUGCCGCGUGAGUGAAGAAGGCCUUCGGGUUGUAAAGCUCUUUUGUCAGGGAAGAAACGGUGGUCUCUAAUAUAGACUGCUAAUGACGGUACCUGAAGAAUAAGCACCGGCUAACUACGUGCCAGCAGCCGCGGUAAUACGUAGGGUGCAAGCGUUAAUCGGAAUUACUGGGCGUAAAGCGUGCGCAGGCGGUUAUAUAAGUCAGAUGUGAAAUCCCCGGGCUCAACCUGGGAACUGCAUUUGAGACUGUAUGGCUAGAGUGUGUCAGAGGGGGGUAGAAUUCCACGUGUAGCAGUGAAAUGCGUAGAUAUGUGGAGGAAUACCGAUGGCGAAGGCAGCCCCCUGGGAUAACACUGACGCUCAUGCACGAAAGCGUGGGGAGCAAACAGGAUUAGAUACCCUGGUAGUCCACGCCCUAAACGAUGUCUACUAGUUGUCGGGUCUUAAUUGACUUGGUAACGCAGCUAACGCGUGAAGU
rnacentral:rRNA from 1 species